UUGUCUGGUAUGCGAAAAUAGUUCAUGUUCCAGGUAAAACUUUUUUAUUUUCUAAAUAGUUUUUCUUUCAAGAACUCAAAGUGAUUUCUUGUUAAAUAAUUAAUCGAGUAUUUUGCUCGUAUUGCGUGCUGGUUGGCGAGGGAUCGAUGUCCGUCAUCAUGCAAAAGACGCCGUUGUUUUUCUUCCUCUGCGCCAGUUUCACCACCAGAAUAAUCCCACGGCCUCCUUCAGCCUCGCUCCGACUGGGCCUUAAAACUGAAAUAAAAGCUUCCUCCACCAAAAUUUAUACCCAUCGACAUCUGUCCAAGAAAGGGCAACCUUCUCUUUGCGUCGUCAUACUCCACGACAAUCUCGGAGCCGUCAACUAUACCUACGCCCUUCAUUCACAGAUACUUGAUUUGGAGUAUGGAGAAGCUUUUUUCGAUUUUUUCCACGUCAAGAAUUGCAUCUAACGCAACAACGAGGAAACGCCACUCUUGUGGGCUGUGGAAAAUGUCGCCAGCUACCACAUAACCAUUUCGAGAUUUCUCUAGAUGGAACCGAUAACAUUCGACAUGAAGGAUGCCCAAGAAGGCUCCACCAAACAUCGUCUGGUGUCGGAACAGAAUUUCAAUCCGCAAUUGGACGAGCAAUUCAUCAACAACGACCAUUCGGUUCGUCCAUUUCCAGUCUUCCGCCCAGCCGAGAGCCUUUUUUCACCAAAUACUCUUGGAUUCUUGAAGAUAUCGUGGCCAUAAACCAACCCCUGCCAGCCAACUGGCAGGAGAAACACGACCAGAUGCUGUUUCAGCGCGAUAUACUCGAAGUAAGACGAAAACAAUUAAAGCUCCAGCCUUUUUGGAGCAUUACUCGGUCGUCCAGCUGACUCAUAAAACGGCCAAGAAGAAGAGGAAAUUGAGCAGCGAUCUCCGCCCGUGUUGGAAACUUCGCGAAGCCGUCGGCAGUGCUGACGAGGACAGUGACGGAAUUAGUGACGAAACGGGCGACUUUUCGCUUUUCUGACGGAUCAAGCCACCGAUUGUGUUUCCCCGUGCCGUUUCCGGAGUACGUGUUUCAUGUGGAAGAAGCUGAAGUACAUCAAGAACUAUUGAAUUGUAGU